rnacentral:rRNA from 1 species
CAGCCGCCGCGGUAAUACGUAGGUGGCAAGCGUUAUCCGGAAUUAUUGGGCGUAAAGCGCGCGUAGGCGGUUUCUUAAGUCUGAUGUGAAAGCCCACGGCUCAACCGUGGAGGGUCAUUGGAAACUGGGAAACUUGAGUGCAGAAGAGGAAAGUGGAAUUCCAUGUGUAGCGGUGAAAUGCGCAGAGAUAUGGAGGAACACCAGUGGCGAAGGCGACUUUCUGGUCUGUAACUGACGCUGAUGUGCGAAAGCGUGGGGAUCAAACAGGAUUAGAUACCCCAGUAGUCCCUGUCUCUUAUAC